GCAGAAGGAUCAUUAGUGAAGAUUUGGGCAGGCCAUACGGACGCCAAAAAGUGUCCCUGGCCGCCUACACCCACUAUAUAUCCACAAACCCGUGUGCACUGUCUUGGAGAAAGGCUUCAGAGAAGUUUUUUGUGGCCUCUCUUGGGGUCUUUCUUCGCUACAAACUCGAAUGGUUAGUAUGAACGUGGAACUUGGUUGGACCGUCACUGGCCAACAAACUAUACACAACUUUCGACAACGGAUCUCUUGGUUCUCCCA
rnacentral:misc_RNA from 1 species